UCUCGUAUUGUUUUCCCCCUUUUUCUCCAAAAAGAGAAACCAAACAACCAAUAAGAGAGAAGAGAAUAAAACAAAAUUCUCUUUUUCCUUUUACCGUUACCAAGAGUCCACCUAAUCUGGUGAUUUCAGGUUUCCUCCUAUUACCCACCCUUUGUCUCUCUCUCUCUCUCCUUUCAUGCGACCUUGAAAUGAUUGGAACAUAUGACAAGAGAGUGACAAGUUAAUGAUCUCUCUCAUUACCUGAUUACCUACUCGGUCUCUUUUUCUUUCUUUCUUUCUUUUUCUCUCUCUCUCUCUUUUUAGUCCUCCUUCUUUCUCUGUCUUUCUUGUCAUCAUCCAGUAAAAUGUCAUCACCGUUUUCCAUGUAAUAAUGUUGAGUGUCUGUAGUAGUGAUAAUUGGUUAUUCUUGCGGUUGUAGGUAAACAACAGGUAGAGUGUUAUUGGUAAUUGCAAGGUAUCUCAUUGUUUUCGCUGUUGUUUCUUUCAGUAUUGUCAACUUCUUUACGGCUUUUUAGGCUAAUUUUGUGAUCUUAUUUUUUUUGUCACGUUUAUUUGGUUUGAUUAAUGAUAAAUUGUAAUACACCAAUUUGGAUACAAUUUCUGCUUGGAAAGUUCAAGAUAAUUUUGUCUCAAUUUUUUUGUCUUUUUUUCUGCUUAUCUCUUUUAGAUAUUACGAUUAAUUCUGAGAAAAAUAUAUGUACAUAUUGAUAUUCUAAUUGCAAUUGAAAACUAAUCAUGGUCACUUUGAGAACUGUAUUUCAACCUUUUGUAACCCGUUAGCCUUAAUGUCAAUAACCAGAAGAAAAAAAAUGAAUUUCGACAAUAACCAAGAAGAAAGCAUGAUAACCUGAUUCCCGUUCAUCAACGAGUUUCUUUCAAUUGCUGAAACAUGUCAUCAAACGUACGAUUGGUAACUAAUCCAGGAAAUUAAUGAAUGAUCAUCUCAUUAUCUUUUCGACUGUUUUGACGUGUAUUCAUCAUCAUCAUCUUCAAACAACAAAAACAUCGAUAUUAUCACUAUGAUUGUCGUCAUUUUGUUUUUCUUUCUACUUAAAUGAAGAGACUCCGUCCCUCAUUUAACCAGGAAAAAGAAACAGGAAAGAAACAGCUAUAAACCAGAAUUUUAUAUAGAAUCAGAUUCAAUUUAUUGUUCUUUUUUUUGAAUUACUAUCAUUUUAUUGAUCUGAACAAAAAUGCAAGUGAAAAUUUAUCACGCUCAAGUUAAUUGGUUUCACUCUGCAUACAAUAUUUACCUUCAUUGUUGGUGACAAGUCUACCAGAUCAAUUAACCAAUCAAUUUAAUUCAUGGAAACCAACCACAUUACUUCAUCAUCGAAAAUCAUGACUUUGAACCAUUCCAACUACAAUUAAACCAAGAUACCUUUUGUUUGACCUUAGAGGUUAAUUUUCAAGUAUAUAAAUAUAUUGAUAAAUGACUUUGGGUCCUUAAAGUCUUUUGGACCGUUUAAUUAUUCAAAAAGUGAUGAUUAUGAUAAAACUCAAUCGAUGACGAUUCCAACAACAAUGAUGGUGAAUUUACAAAUUCUGGUGGAUCCUCUGGUAUUUGGCACGAAGUUUUCACCUCCCAAGAAAGAAAAGACUGAUGAAAAUCUAAGGAUCCAAUAGGAAUGGUGGAAAAACAGAAAUGUCCAGUUAAUCAAAUCCUAAUUGUCCAGCAAAAGGAAAGGUUUGACACCUCUUACUCCACCCACAUUUGUGAAUCUUCAAUAGUCAAUGGAAAAGCCUUAUGGACGAAAUUAACAUUCAAUGAUUGAUAAAGUAGAGAAAAUAGAGAAGAUGAACCAAAAUUCACUUGGGAAAAGAAAUGUAUCGAUUUUACAAUCAAAUUAAUGGUGGAUAAUCAGCAUUCUCGUCAUAUUAAUAUUUGAUUGAUUAAACGUGAAUUAUUGACAAAGAUUUUUAUGGUUAUGGUGAUGAUGAAGAUUAUCCAUGAAUAGAUCAGAUCUUUUGAUCAUUCUCUUUAAUCAACUCUUUCCUUUCACGAUUUAUCAUCAUCUUUGGUGGAAAAGGAAAGAUACCCGAUGACCAUGUGAAUGAAAAAGGAUGUAAAUGAAUCCCUUCAUCUUCAUCCGUUAAUCCAAUUAAAUUAACUGGUAAAAGUCAAACGGUUAAUCAACAACAACAAUAAUAAUAAUUUUUCAAUCGGAAAUGGAAAACAUUUCCUUUCCAUAAAUACAAAUACAUUUAACUUCCAAUGGAAACAGCAACAAACCAUAAAAGAUGAUACAUUUUCCAGAGUUAAAAUUUCCAACAUUGUACCAAGUGAAACUCGCAAAGAUAAUGAUGGGAAUUCCGGCAGAACUCAUGAGGAAUGAGAAAUUAUCGGAGAUAAUAUUGACCAUGGAACCUAAAAAUAUCGUCAUGUCAC